AUUUUCUAGGGUUGUACCGUGGCACAUGGAGGUUCCCAGGCUAGGGGUCCAAUAGGAGCUGUAGCCACCAGUCUACACCAUAGCCACAGCAAUGCAGGAUCCAAGGUGUGUCUCUGAUCUACACCACAGCUCACAGCAAUGGCGGAUCAUUAACCCACAGAGUAAGGCCAGGGAUUGAAUCCACAACCUCGUGGUUCCUAGUUGGAUUUGUUAACCACCGAGCCGUGACGGGAACUCCUACUUUCUUUUACAAAGACAUCAAUAUUUAUGAUCUCACUGGUUUCACUAAUUCAACUAUCAUUUAGUGAACACCUACCUUGUGACAAGUUAUGCUAUAAGUACUGAAGAUAAAAAAUUAAAUAACACUCUGUCUUUUCCUCACACUAGAUGGUAGGUGCUCUCCUCAGAGCCUGCUGCAUCCCUCAGGGCCCCAGAGAUGCUGAUUUCUGAGUCCUCACUUCCUUAGGAGGGUAAUGUUCCCCUUGCCUUCCUUGCCUUUCAGGAUUAGAAGAUUGAGUUAUGGAGAUCUGAGUUCUGGUCUCUCUGGCAUCAGGCCAUUGUGAAAGGUCCUUUCCUUUCAGGCAGAAAACCGACAAAGUCAGGCACUUUGCUCUGAGGCUUUCAUUUGCGUUUCUAAGUUGAUUGCCUAAAACUGAGACCGCUUUCCCUGUGGGGAGAGGGAUGGACUGGGCUUCUUAAAGUGUGUGUGUGUGUGUGUGUGUGUGUGUGUGUGUGUGGUGUGUGUGUGUGUGUGUGUGUGUGUGUGUGUGUGGGUGGGGUAAUAGGACCCUGUGUCCUUCUUUGAUGUUGUCCCCUUAGGGAGCCCUUAUUAGAGCCUUCUCUAGCCUUCUUCUCUCUAGUCCCUUGUAACUAGCUUCACCUCUGUCACUUUCUCCUUUCACUCCACUGGCCUCCAAGGUGUUUAGCCAGCCAAGCUUGCUCCCUCCUUAUGGCCUUUAUGUUCUGUGUCCCUUCUGUGUGGGCCACUCUCCCCUGAGUCAUGAGGUUAACCUCUGACUUCCUUCAGGUCUUUACUCACCUUCUCUGUGAGGCCUUCCAUGGCCACUCUUUCAAAACUGUCAGCCUUUCAUCCCGAUGCUCUAUACAUUUCCCUGCUCUACUAUGUCUCCUGAGCACUCACUAUUGUUUACUUAAUUUCUGCUAGAAACAGAGCGGAAUGGACAAUAAAAGACAGAUAAUCUCCAGGGGAACAUGGAUUUUUGUCUGUUUGUUUCUUUCUUUUUUUUCUUUUUACAGCUGCACCUGUGGCACAUGGAAGAUCCAGGGCUAGGGCCUGAAUCAAAGCUGCAGCUGAGCCCUAUGCCACAGCCAUGGCAACAUCUAAAACCUGUGCUGCAGCUUAUGGCAGUGCUGGAUCUUUAACACAGUGAGUGAGGCUAGGGUUCAAACCUGCAUCCUUACAGAGACUGUGCUGGGUCCUUAACUCCCUGAGCCACAAUAGGAACUCCUGUCUGUUUUUUUCAUACUCUGUCUUAUAGAAUAGUUCUUUGUACAUGGUACAUUCUUUAGUAAGUAUUUGUUAAGUGAAUGAAUAAUGACAAAAUUCCCUAAGUCUCAGCUAGACAAAUAGGAAGUAUAAUCUCCUUCAUUUAAAUUGAUCAUAUGAUUUGGACAAUUGGAAUUUCAGUAGAAAUUCUUGACUUUAGAAUUGAAGACUCCCCUAAGCUUGUUGGCUAGUAUAGGGAAUCUUAGUAACAAAGGGCAUAAAGUCACAUAGUUUAUGAUAGUUUUAAUCAUAGUUUAUGAUUUUUUGAAGAUGAAGGAGAUGUGGCAUUUCUUGCAUCACAAUGUUUUGAGCAAAGUGUAGCCAGUUCACCUUGAGUGUGCACAAAAGCCAGCCUUGCCGCCUCCUGCUAGCUUUUGUUGGUGCAAGUAUGCCUGGCAGUUUGACUUGAGAAUGGCAUUAAGGACUUGCCAUGGUGCUGACAUGAGAAGUGAGAAAUGGCAAGUGCAUGGAACUAGCACAGGGAGCAAAGGGUCAGUGUUUCAAUACCAGCCAUGGCUUAGUUGAUAAGAUACUGCAAAUGAGUACUUCAUGUGUGUGUGUGAGUCUCUGUGUGUCACAUAAGAAGCAUAUAUUGUGUUAUGUGCACAAUGGCCAGUGAAUUUGAUGCCUCUUUUAUGGAUGCUAUUGGAUGUGUCAGCACUUCUUCCAUUCCCUUCUGUCUUGAGGUGUGUGGAAAUUUCUCCUGUGCCAUCCUUUACUUUGAUAAAGGAAUUGAAAAUAAGGUCUCCUCUCUUUGCUUUUGACUUCUCCAUUCAUAUAAUUGGUUUUCCUCCUUUGCUCAGUGCUCCCUAUGGUCACAUCAUAUUACAAAUUAUUAUAUAAUAAAAGUUGUUGCCUUGUAUUUUCUUUCCUACCUGUUUCCUACAGAACUUGGGAGAAAUAAAAGGAAUUGACCCAGGUUAAGAUGACAAAAAUAAUUAUCCCUCGUUUAAAAGAAGAAAAGUUUACAUUAAUAGACUAAUUCAAAUUUAUUUAAUUUUGCACAGAAUUAAAAAAAGCAUCUCACUGAAAAGUAACAUGAAAAAGAAUAUUAAAAUUCUUGAUAAGUUAAGGGGUUAGAAACUACCAUUUAUUGACUAUGUAUAGGGUACCAUCUAGAAAUUCAGUAACUGAGCUGAGAAAUUGAUGUUAUCCCAUUUUACAGGGAAAGAAACCAAGCUUCAGGGAUGUUAAUAAAUGCUAAGGACAUAUUAGUAGGAAGUGGGAGAGGCUGGAUUUGUAUUUAGAUGUGUCUGAUUCCAACUAAACUUUACUAUGCUGGUUUCCAACUGUCUUUAAAUUCAGAGUGUUCUUAAAAUUUCAGUACUGUACAUUCUAAAUUGAAAGCACUGUAUUUCAUUUCUAAGUAAGAUCAUCUUUUCCCUUUGCCAGAAAUAAUAUCUUUGAUUGCUCUAGCGCUUGGUUUGUAUGAAUUGCUUUCCUUGUUUUCUCAAUGCCAUGCAGGGAUUUAAAGUUCCUUGCUGUUAAAAACAGAGAUGAGUUACCUCAUUUUUGAAAUUCCUACACUGAGUUUCAAAAGCAAAAACAUGUCAUUAGGAGCUUAGGCUCAGAAUCUGAAUUUCAUCUUCUCUGCUUACUUACUGCAUAAUAGUGGCCACAUUCCUUAAUUAGGCUGUACCUCAAUAUCUCUAUCUGUAAAACAGAGGUAAUAUCAUCAAUAUAAAGAUUAAAAUAGUUAAUGUGUUAAUACAAUUAAAGUGCUUUUAAACAGAGCCUGACACACAAACAUCACCAAUAAAAUUUUUAUUUCUACCCAGGCAUGGCAAUCAUAAAGAGACAAUCAUUUUCAUUUUCUGGAACAUAGGAUAUUAGUUUCCUAAGGAUCCUUUCCUUCCAUGUCUUCCUGUUAACUAUCUGCUAGGGUUAUACCAGCUGCGCAUGGUGCUUUUUCACUCAAGAGGAAGACAUCUGAAAAUAGGCCUGUCUGUCUCUUUUAUUUUUAAAUUCAUACAUUUGUAAUGAAAAAAGCAAACUGAUCAUCAUUGGAGGAUCUUAGUGGACCAACUCAGUAUUUUGAAAAUUGGUCAGUACAGCAACAUACUAAAGGCCUAUCCUUCAUUUCCUGUGUGGACUGUCCUACUAGAUAAUCAAUAGUAGAAAAGGAAUUAUUUCUUUUCACAGAAGAGUGCAUGGAUCUAGGCAUUGGACAUCAAUACCCCUAAGAUCAAAGAGAGACAUAGAUAGAUAGACAGAUAGAUAGAUAUAUAGAUAGAUAGAUUAUGUGAUUCCAUUUAAUUGAACAUACCAUCAAUAAAGUAGUCUUAUUAAACACUAUAAUUUAUGGAGUUCCCAUUGUGGCUCAGCAAUAACGAACCUGAUUAGUAUCCGUGAGGACAUGGGUUCAGUCCCUAGCCUUGCUCAGUGGGUUAAGGAUCUGAUGCUGCUGUGAGCUGUGGUGUAGGUUGCAGACAUGGUUUAGUGUUGCUUAGGCUGUGGUGUAGGCAGGCAGCUUCAGCUCUGAAUUGACCACUAACGUGGGAACUUCCAU
rnacentral:lncRNA from 1 species